rnacentral:lncRNA from 1 species
CAGUGCCCUUUAAUCACUGACCCCAUGUGAGUCCUGUCCACAUGAUCACACCCACGUGGGAUUGUGGAGAGACGGCACCAGUGGAGCUGGGGCAGAGAGGGACUCUGCUCUCUGGAGGAAAUUAUAGUACUCACCCAAUCUGCUUAUUUCAACAAGGAACCUAUGAAUUGUCCCAUCUAUUGGUCAGGAGAGGCAAGAGGCCAUUAGGAGCCUUGCGUAUUCACUGUGAAUGUUCAUUGGCCACCCGGCUGCCAGAAGGGAAGAGGAGAACCUGCACUUAACCUGGGGAGUGAUGUAUAGGUCUUCCCACCUGGGAGGACUGGAUUCCAUUCAACAGC